GACGAACGCUGGCGGCGUGCUUAACACAUGCAAGUCGAACGGAAAGGCCCUGCUUUUGUGGGGUGCUCGAGUGGCGAACGGGUGAGUAACACGUGAGUAACCUGCCCUUGACUUUGGGAUAACUUCAGGAAACUGGGGCUAAUACCGGAUAGGAGCUCCUGCUGCAUGGUGGGGGUUGGAAAGUUUCGGCGGUUGGGGAUGGACUCGCGGCUUAUCAGCGUGUUGGUGGGGUAGUGGCUUACCAAGGCUUUGACGGGUAGCCGGCCUGAGAGGGUGACCGGCCACAUUGGGACUGAGAUACGGCCCAGACUCCUACGGGAGGCAGCAGUGGGGAAUAUUGCACAAUGGGCGGAAGCCUGAUGCAGCAACGCCGCGUGCGGGAUGACGGCCUUCGGGUUGUAACCCGCUUUCGCCUGUGACGAAGCGUGAGUGACGGUAAUGGGUAAAGAAGCACCGGCUAACUACGUG
rnacentral:rRNA from 1 species